rnacentral:rRNA from 1 species
AUUGAACGCUGGCGGCAGGCCUAACACAUGCAAGUCGAGCGGAUGAGUGGAGCUUGCUCCAUGAUUCAGCGGCGGACGGGUGAGUAAUGCCUAGGAAUCUGCCUGGUAGUGGGGUACAACGUUUCGAAAGGAACGCUAAUACCGCAUACGUCCUACUGGAGAAAGUGGGGGAUCUUCGGACCUCACGCUCUCAGAUGAGCCUAGGUCGGAUUAGCUAGUUGGUGAGGUAAAGGCUCACCAAGCCGACGAUCCGUAACUGGUCUGAGAGGAUGAUCAGUCACACUGGAACUGAGACACGGUCCAGGCUCCUACGGGAGGCAGCAGUGGGGAAUAUUAGACAAUGGGCGAAAGCCUGAUCCAGCCAUGCCGCGUGUGUGAAGAAGGUCUUCGGAUUGUAAAGCACUUUAAGUUGGGAGGAAGGGCAGUAAGUUAAUACCUUGCUGUUUUGACGUUACCAACAGAAUAAGCACCGGCUAACUUCGUG